rnacentral:misc_RNA from 1 species
UGAAGGUACUUUGGGUUCUUACCGCCUAACGCUUUUCUCCUCCUCACCAUGGCCGGCGAUGAGCCUACGACUACGUCCUCCACCGCCGCCGUCUCUUCCUCCGUCGCCGAGUCCAUCCUCUCGCCUCCACCGCAAGAUCCCGUCGGAUCACCCAGUCGCGAUGUGACGGAGAUUCAAUCAUUGAUAUCCGAAGGCGAUCAUGACCAGGGACCCAGGGAGAACCACGAUCACGGUCACGAACACGCAGUUAGAGCCGCUGUUCUCCCGGAGGAUCUGAAACACAGGAUCGUUAAGCAGGUAGAGUACUACUUCAGCGAUGAAAACUUGCCCACCGAUAAACACUUGUUGGGAUUAAUCAAAAAGAACAAGGAGGGUUUUGUUCCAAUAGCUAUUAUUGCUGCCUUCAAGAGAAUGAAAAAACUUACUCAAGAUCAUUCAUUUAUUACUGCUGCCCUGAGGGAAUCCUCUGUUCUUGUCCUAAGUUCUAAUGGGAAGAAAGUCAAGCGACUUCAUCCUAUUCCAUUGCCUGAGACUAGGGAUCCUAAGUUAUUUACUAUUUUGGUAGAAAAUCUACCUGAGGAUCAUUCAGAGGAGAAUAUCAAACGAAUUUUUGGAGCAGCUGGACGCAUAAGAAGUGUCACCAUUUGUGACCCACAUGUGGUAGAGAAGUUGGGGAAAAGCAGCAAGGGUGAUGUGCUGAUCAGUAAUAAGUUGCAUGCUCUUGUGGAGUACGAGUCUCCGGAGGCUUCUGAGAGAGCUGUGGCUACUUUAAAUGAUGAACAAGAUUGGAGAAAUGGCAUGCGGGUUAAGCCUCUCAAGCAUCUGAGUAAGCAUGGCCAGAGGAAACAACACUGGCGAGCACCUGAUCCCGACAAAAACAACACUGGGAGAAUAACUGAUCAGAAUGGUCCCGACAAAAACAUCCCAGGGCGAAUAACUGAUCAGAAUGGCGAUGAAGAAAUUCAGAACUCUGUAAAUGAGCAUCAUGACGAUGUGCCUGAUGAGGAGGAGGGAGAUCAUCAACCCAAAGACAAACAUGGACAUAGAGGUCGAAAUCAAGGACGAACUAGAAGACAAAAGUACAAGGGCGUCAAUGGAAUGGGUCAUGGAACUACAACUUCUGCCCAUCACAUUGAACUUUCGAAACCACCCCCUGGCCCGAAAAUGCCUGAUGGAACUCGGGGGUUCACAAUGGGGCGUGGGCGACCUCCAACCUCCAACCAAAGCACAUAGUGAGAAUUUCAUCAUGUGGGUCUGUAGAAAUUUCACUUUCUAUGUUUUUUACUUUGAUUGAUGGGCAUGCUAGAACGCGUCCUGGCAUAUGUCUGAGUAGGUUGGCCAAAAUGUAUCUUCUAAAUCUAACCUCAAAGCUUUGUGUCUCAAGAAAAUGUUAUCUUGUAUAAUGUUCACCUGUAUGGUAUGUUUAAAUUUGGUGGUUUUG